AAAAACAUGUCUUUUUGAAAAUAAUAUAAAGUCUAAUCUGCCCACUGAAUUAAUUUAAAGGGCUGCAGUAUAUUGACUGUACAAAGGUAGCAUAAUCAAUAGUCUUUUAAUUGAAGACUUGUAUGAAUGAUUUGAUGAAAUAUAAACUGUCUCUUUUUUAAAAUUAAAAUUUAAUUUUUUAGUUAAAAAGCUAAAAUAAAUAUAAAAGACGAGAAGACCCUAUAGAGUUUUAUAAUUAUUUUUAUUUAUUUUAUAUAUUAAUAUUAAAAAUUAAAUGUAAAUAAUUAUUUUGUUGGGGUGAUAGAAAAAUUUAAUUAACUUUUUUUAAAAUUUAACAUUAAUAUAUGAAUAUAUGAUCCAUAUUUUAUGAUUAAAAGAAUAAAUUACCUUAGGGAUAACAGCGUAAUUUUUUUUUUUAGUUCAUAUAAAAAAAAGAGUUUGCGACCUCGAUGUUGGAUUAAGAUAAAAUUUAAAUGCAAAAGUUUAAAAUUUUUGAUCUGUUCGAUCAUUAAAAUCUUACAUGAUCUGAGCUCAAACCG
rnacentral:rRNA from 1 species